UUCAGCAGAUAGAAGUUGCUGAGCAGGAGCUCGUUGAAGGCAAGUUGUGCCCUGGAUCACUUCCUUUUUACCCAGUCAUGUUCUUAUUAAUCAUGAUGAUCUGCAUAGGUUAAUUUUGAUGGAAUCCAAUAGGUUACCCUAGUUUUGGCUAUCUUUAUACCUUGUUUUACAACUGAAUAUUUUUGGGUAGUAUAUGCUAUUGCGUUAUGUGGUUUUGGGUACGGAGAUAUACAUCACUCAUCGUUACACUUUUAUUAUCAGUUAUUAUUUACUGUUCAUGAUAAGAUCAUUAUGUUAAUGGGAACAUGGAAAACCACCCGGGAAAACAGUGCUACCACAAGGGUGGUAUGGGACGCCCUUGGCUGAUUAACUAGGAAAGCUAGUGGAUGACUACCUUACCCGAAAGGGGCAAGGGCAGUAGGGGAGUUGUUAUUGUAGGGAGGUCCUUGGGUUGAUUUUGCUGCGAUGGUGGUCAGGCGAGGGAUUCAUGCACUGGAGCUUCCUAGAAACUGUAGCGGGUUUUCUGAAGCUACUGGAACUUUGUAAAGGCCUCAUAGUGGUACCCUGCCUCGCUUCCUUGGUAGAGGUGUAUGGGGUCCGAUCAACCACGUGGCAAAUGGGUAACACGACUUGUGGGUAAAUAUGCGCAACCUCUGCAGAGUGUAAAACUGGUAUACUAGUCGUGCUCACGGUCAUGAGCGGCUCGGACACUCACAUGAUUAAUUUAUGGAAUUAAACUCAAUUUGUCAAUUCAUUGCAUUGGGGAUUAUUUUAUUAUUACUUUUACUUAUUAUUACUAUGGUUUGGUAUUUACUUACACUUAGUAACUGCUAAUAAAAUUUUGACCAACAUAUAAAAGCAAUGCUCAGCUUCAACCUUUAUUACAUUGAUUUGCCUUACACUUCACAUGAACUCCCACCUUUGGUGAGUUCAUGCACAUUAUUCCCCACAACUUGUUGAGCAAUGAACAUGUGUGAGCUCACCCUUGCUGUCUCACACCCCCACAGGAGAAGAACAUGUGAUAGAAGAGGGGCCGCCUAACACUGAGGCAUUCGACUUGAUCUAGGUGGCGUCUCCCAGUCAGCUUUCUGGCACUAGGGAAUAAUAUUUAGUUUGCUUCAUUUUAUCAUUUAUUUUUGUAAGACUUCCGCUAUGUAAUAAGUACAUUUAUGAUAUUUAUGAC
rnacentral:lncRNA from 1 species